UGCCUCUCAAACAGACGUAAUCCGUGGAUCAGGGCGGCAGGCGUUCAGUCUGUGGAGAGUAGGUCUCGGACGGAAGUGAUGAGAGUGAAAAUACCCACUGUGGCAGACUUGAAGAAACCGCAUCAGUCCACUUCAAGGACAGUGAAACCUGCUGUUUCGCAAACAGGAGGUGAAGGAGAAAACUGUGUUCACGUUGUGCCUCCUGUCGCUGACUUUUGUGACUCCAUGAAGACCAUUUCCAUCAGAUGCUGUUAUGGCCAGUUUUGAACUGAAGAUGAAAGACUUGGAGUUCCUCUGACUAAUGAGGUGGUAUUAAUACAAUCAAUCAGACCCUCUCGCUUUAUGUUCAAGCUUAAACCCACCACAAAACAUCUUGUGUAACAUUGCCAAAACCGUCUUUGCACUGUGGACGGUGGACACAUUCUGCCACUGUCCUGUGUCAUGUGCGACCUGAGCCCUGUGGUUUGAGUGAAGUCUUGUCCCACCCAGAGCUUCUGACCCCCCCCCCCACGUCAGCUCGGCUCGCGCUCACAGUCCCACUUGUCCCGCUUGCCUCGGUGAACAUUCAACGCUGUCGGUGAGUUUGGUAUGGAUCACAUAAAAACCAUCGACCGUUGACUGUGCCCCGCGGCUGGCUCUGGCAACGUCAGGAAUGAGCAAAAAUGAACAAAAGGGCAAGUGGGCGCAUGCAAAUCUCCGAGACGAAGGGACACACACGCACGCACAAAAGUGACACUCUGUUUCCACUGCACCCAAAGACCAAAGGUCACAAUCAACAUUCAUUGCUGUCGCUGGGUUGGACUGUGUAGAAAAGCUCACUGAACAAUGAGUGCAACUGUGGCCCAGAUCUGCCUGACUCGUGUCUCAGCCAAUCAGCCGACCGGAUGUGAAACACUCUGAUUUCUUUAUUUAUAUACUUCUUGUUUUUCACUUCUAUUUUCUCCUCUCUUCCUCUCCUCCCUGGCGCUGGGAGUCUUCAGGGGGAGGAGAGAGAGGGGGAGAAAGAGAGAGAGAGAGAGAGAGAGACACAAAUAGACUUCUGGCUGCUUGCUUGUCCUCAUCCUCCUCUCUUCUCCUCUAAUUGGCGGUUAUGUGUGCAGCAAGGGGGAAGGAAGCGGAGUGAAUGUGUAAUCAUUUGGAGUCUCUUCUCCUUUAGAUGUUGCAUCCCUCUCUUUUUUGUUUGUCUAAUUAUAUACUGAGCCCAGUUAACUCUGUGCUAACUGUGCUGGCAAGAAUGAAUGAGUGACAAACAGAGGGAGGACAAGGAAGUGUGUUUUGGGUGGGUAGGGGGGGUUAGAAAGAUUAUAGCAGCAGCAAAAUUAUUAUCUAGUUUUUAGUAUAUCUCAAUAUUCUUCCUGGUGCUACUGCGAGUGUGCAAGGAUACAAGCAGUUUUCAAAUCCUGAAAGAAGACCAUGCAUGUCUCAUUAUCUGUGUUUGAGUUUCAUGUGUGUGUGUGUGUGUGUGAGAGAGAGAGAGAAAACCUUUCUGCUGAUCUCAGAGUGUAAUAUGUUAUUUUCUUCUCUUACGAAAGCAGCGUGCUCCCUCAUGGGAAAACUGUCUCUGACCUUGUCUUCCCUCAGACAGCCUGGGACUGGCCAUGCUGCUGCCAUUUCUCACACUGUGUCCUCGAUCUGUAGUCCAUGUAAACACACAUGGCACAUGUAUUUGGCAUUUUGUGUUUUAUGAUCUCAUGAAGUGCUGAUAUUUGCUGGACGUUUUUAAGGCUGGUUCACUAAAUAAUUCAAUAAAGUUAAAUCACAAGUCACA